AUGAGCAGCAACAGCGCUAAGAGAGCACCUACAACAGCGACGCAGCGCCUGAAGCAGGACUACCUCCGGAUUAAGAAAGACCCCGUGCCUUACAUCUGUGCCGAGCCCCUCCCUUCCAACAUCCUUGAGUGGCACUAUGUGGUCCGAGGCCCUGAGAUGACUCCCUACGAAGGUGGCUAUUAUCAUGGAAAACUAAUUUUUCCCAGAGAAUUUCCUUUUAAACCUCCUAGUAUUUAUAUGAUAACUCCUAAUGGAAGAUUUAAGUGCAACACAAGGCUGUGUCUUUCCAUCACGGAUUUCCACCCAGACACGUGGAACCCGGCCUGGUCCGUCUCCACCAUCCUGACGGGGCUCCUGAGCUUCAUGGUGGAGAAGGGCCCCACCCUGGGCAGCAUUGAGACUUCGGACUUCACAAAAAGACAACUGGCUGCACAAAGUUUAGUGUUUAAUUUAAAAGACAAAGUGUUUUGUGAAUUGUUUCCCGAAGUCGUGGAGGAAAUUAAGCAAAAACAGAGAGCACAAGACGAACUCAGUAGCAGACCCCAGGCUCUCCCCUUACCAGACGUGGUUCCAGACGGGGAGACGCACCACGGCCAGAACGGGCUUCCGCUCCUCAACGGGCACGCGCCGGGCGCUGGGCCGCACCUCGCGGGGCUCCAGCAGGCCAACCGGCACCACGGACUCCUGGGCGGUGCCCUGGCGAACUUGUUUGUUAUAGUUGGGUUUGCAGCCUUCGCCUACACGGUCAAGUACGUGCUGAGAAGCAUAGCGCAGGAGUGAGCCGCCGCCACGACCAGCAGAGGUGGUCGGAAACGAGGGACGCUGAGCCCGAGCUCGACGUGGGCUGGCUGGACGUGCCGCCGAGCACUGGGCGGGCCUGCCUGACUCCUGGGGCUGUCACCGGGGCUGAGCUGUGCGUCCUGCGCGGUCGCGCUGCCGGCUUUCUCUCACCCCCAUGGCUUCCUGCGGGCUCCCACUGGCUGCGCUAAUGGAAGGAGGAGACCCCCCCCCCAGCGGGCCCCUGGGUCCCACCCGCCGGACAGGCUCUGCACACGUGGGGCUUCCCGCACACGUGGUCCAGCUCUUUGGUUUGCCCUGGAGACAGGCUCACACAUUCCCUUUCACAGCGGAUCCGUGGCCAGUUCUUAGAGGCUGGCCGCCCGGGAAGGACACCCGGGUUCAGGGGCAGCGCCGGUGGGCGCCGUCUCAGACCUGGGGCCUGCGCCUCCUGGAUCGCCGACGUCUCCCUGUUCUCGUCUCUGCUAAUGACAUCCUGCACGGUGUUUGGAAGGCGCCGUGUCCGGGCGCCACCGCGCGACACCCUGUGGCCUCGCUCCAGAGGCCGGCAGGGAGGCCGCGUGCAGCCUGGCGCUGGUGCAUCUUUCACGUUCUUUGGUUUUUGAUCAAUUUAUUUAAAAUUGCUCUUUGAUUUACUGCUUGUGUGUAUUCAACCCGCUCUUGUGAAAAACAGUCUUUCAUUUUGUCUUUGUUCCUAAAUUUUGUGCUCUUGGGGUCUGUAUACCACAAGUUCCUCUCCGCCCAGCACUGGGUAGCCCGUGGGCAGCUGGGUGUCCUGCGACCCACGGUGGACCCCGGUGGCGGGGUGGUGCUGUGCUGCUGGGCCCGGACCCCGAUGGGUGCGGCUUUGCCAGGCCUCCCUCCGUCCACUGCUGGCCCGAGGGUGCGUCUGUGGAGGUUGGUGCCCCUUCCAGACGCACCGCGUUUCCUGAGGUUCUUCGGAGGAGGAACAUUUGGGAAAUAGAAAUUACUUGACAAGUGUUUUUUCUUUUGUGUGUGUGAAAUCUCAACUUUUAAAAACUUCAGUCAGCGGUGGGAGCAGAUCUGUGCUGUACAGAGGCUCCCCCUGGCACCCGUGGCGGCUUGCUGUCUGAUGUGACCCCCGAAUAAAAGAUGACCUUGUCCUGUU